CAACCCUGCUUCUUCUCGCAAAGUGUUUAGGGCCAGAAGCGUCUUCAGUUCAGUAUAGGGCAUUUGUAACGGUACUGUCUACCAAACGACCUGGCUUUUGAAAGUAGGCUAAUGACGAGAAGACUGAACUGAAUAUGAAAUACAACGACAGAAAAUGUCAAGUCUGUUCAAAGGACCUUCCUCGGUUGAUGGCGCACGAACACCUGCUGCAGCCGCACUUUUGCUGAGUCUUGGGCAGAAAGCUCUCAAGGCCAUUUCAAAUUUGCACAUGUUCCAUCUGGAGGGAGAUCACAGCGGAGGUGAAUUUCUUGCCGAACAUCUAAGUGGAGAUAUGGGGCUCCAUACCACAUGACGGCCUUCGGCUGCCAAAUGGCGCGCUCCCGUUUGGACCAACUUCAAGGCAAUCCUGCCAGACUACCGCAGUCUGUGGAUUCUCAAAGACAUGCAAAUGUGCAUUUUUGAAUUGCAAUUUAAUCAGAAAUACUGUGCACAGAUUUUCAGAGUGGAAUGUCUGAGCGUAGUGCAUGGCUAAAUGUGACAUUUUACAAGUCAAAUUAACUAAUCCCACAUAUCCAAUAAUGUAAAGCUCAACGUUAAGAAGGUGUAAAUAGUGUGUAAGCGUUUGAAAUAGAUCAAGACAUUCCAAGUAUUUUAGUCUGUGCAUUGUUUAUAUUUGAAGAAUAUUUAAUCGGGAUUUCAGAGGUUUGCAACUAUAAAUGAUUCACAUCUAGACGCAGGAAGAUCUGGAUAUGCUCCGACAUGACUAGCAUGGAUCAGUUUCUCUGAAGACUUUGUUUCUCCUGAGCAGCAACACUGUGGAUGUUCAUACUUGAUGGGUCAGUGUAAUAGGCUAGUUGGAAGUGAACCGAGAAGACACAUCUGUAACAGUGAUAAUCACAUUCUUCUUUGUCUACACGUCCAAUUCCAAAUGGUACUAAAACUAAUUUUCCCUGAGAGACUGGCAGUCCAUUGAGGCUCCAGAGCUGUACUUAAUGUGCUAGACCUUGAUAAAUCGAUGUUAACAGAGGGUCAUGGCCUGAUGAAUGGCUUAUUUUAUUCUGGACUUUGCCUGAUUCAGCCUCCAAGUCAAUGUCUUCAUGAUCCAAGUUCACAGAUUAAGUCGGAUGUUUCUUCUUCUUUUUCCGCUUUUCCCCUUUUUUCCCCUCUCCAAAUUUCAGUGAUUGCUGUCAUGCACCGUCAGUUUCCAUACUACAGACCACACAGUAAGAGAGCUUGAGCCAAUCAGGGGAGUGGCCUUUUUCUCAGGGCCAGGGGUGCACACCUGUGUGUGCCUCUGUGGGGAGGAGCUUUACAACAGUGACAUAAGGAACACUGGCUGACUUAAAUUCACCCCACCCUACCCUUGGCAGAUCAAAGCCUGUUGUCCCAUCAAUAUUGACUCCCAGUCAUGGAUGACAAAUGUAACAGCCCAAGCUCGAACCUUUGGCUGUAAGGUUCAGCCAUCGCUUUUAGUGAGCAUCAGAGCACUACUCAGGGCCUGUUUUAGUUUUUCUGAAAUUGCUUCAUCACUUUAAGCUUUCAUGUCAGCCAAAUGUGUCCAGAUUUUUAUUGUUUUAAGGAGGUGGAGAAAUUGUCGGUCUAAAUGGCUUUACAUUUGAGACUAAAUUUAUUCAUCCGAAUCAUUUUAAUUUUGAUAAUUGAAAGUCGGAAAUGUAACCACUCUGAAGAAAGAACUUUUGCAUACAAUUACUAACAAAAGGUUUGUCUGGGUUAUUUCAGCAUUAAAGAACACCAGUGUUGAGAACUGCAUUUUAAAGAGAUUAGAGAUCACAUUCCACAGAUUUAAUAAUAUAAAUUAUUGGAUUGUGACCUCAGGGUAUUAAUGCUUUUGACCUUCUAGACAUGUUUUACUGGAUGCAUUUAUAGCAAACCAUUAUAACAUGUUCAGCAACCAGUUAAACAUAAUGGUCAGGUUAACAUACUUUUUUUUCCAUUCCAUUUUCCCCCAACUUGAUAUUUCUCCCAUUUCAGAAAUAUCAAAUCUAAGCCAAAAUAGUACAAUCAAGUCACAAAGUAACCCAUAAAUUCAAUUAAAUGCACUUAGCCAGGUUAAGGGCAUAUGCAAUUCAGUCAAACCAGACUUAGGUUGUUUUGUACUCAAUCAAACAAAAGCUUAAAGCUCUUAUAGAUUGAAAAUCCAAGAGACAGGAAAGGGUUUUGUCUGAACACAAGGAAGGUUCAGGCUGGAUCGUAAAACUCGACAACUUCGCCGCUGGACUCAAUUCCUGGAUUUGAUGAAUACUGUACUUAUGAAUUAGUUGAUUAAAAUUAUUGACACAUAAACAAGGCACUGCUCUGACACUGAGAGAGUUCUGGGAAAGAGAUGAAAAACAUUCCAAGUAUUGCACAGAAGGAAAAACCGUACUUGUCCGUUCCAACCAACUCAGUUGAUUCAGGAUAAUGUGUUUCUUCCUGUGGAUUAGUUUACACAAAGCACUGCCGAAGAAUGACAGAGGAGACUGUUAAACAACAGAUGACGAUCUAAUCACCAACCUUGCAUUUCUAUUUAAUUUGAGUUCCUAAAUAAUAUUUGCGCAAGUAACUGUAGUUUUUAUGUUUAUUUCCCAUUGCCUAGAGAAAAACAGUGUUACUGCCAAAUACCAUUAAAAUGUCUGCCACAUAGCUGCGGUUCAUUGUCUGCGUUUAAUUGGUAGUAAUUGAUGUGAAAUGUAGGGACACAUUGUUGGGGCGAUGUGAUAAUUGACUGACAAGAAGGUUCUAUUGACCUCUUUCUGAGGGAUGACUGCAUUGCAGGUAUGAACGAAC